rnacentral:lncRNA from 1 species
CCCUAACAUGUCCAAGAGUUGGACAUAAUAAAAUCAAAUUUGAUUUAAUUUUUAUUCUUGGUCUAUGAGAUGGACGGUUCUCCUCUUCUUCUCCUCAGAUCUAGUCUAAGGAUUGGAUAAGAAGGAAGAUCAAGAGAUCUUAUUUCUUAUUUUCUUUCGUAGAUCUUGAAUUUCUCUUGAGAAGAGAAAAGUGAGAAAAAAAAUCAGAUUUGAUC